UACGUAGGGGGCGAGCGUUGUCCGGAGUUACUGGGCGUAAAGAGCGCGCAGGCGGUCGUGCAAGUCGCGUGUGAAAGCCCCCGGCUCAACUGGGGAGGGUCACGCGAUACUGCUCGACUCGAAGGCAGGAGAGGGAAGUGGAAUUCCCGGUGUAGUGGUGAAAUGCGUAGAUAUCGGGAGGAACACCAGUGGCGAAGGCGACUUCCUGGCCUGUUCUUGACGCUGAGGCGCGAAAGCUAGGGUAGCAAACGGG
rnacentral:rRNA from 1 species